rnacentral:sRNA from 1 species
UUGCUAUAUGCUAUCUGGAUGAUUCGAACCUGCAGCAGGUUCGAGCCGAACGCAGUGAGGCACCGGAGCCGUUUACGGCGACGGCCCGAAGGGCGAGCGAAGCGAGUCAUCCUGCACGACCCACCA